rnacentral:rRNA from 1 species
UAGAGUUUGAUCCUGGCUCAGAAUCAACGCUGGCGGCGUGCCUAACACAUGCAAGUCGCACGAGAAAGUGGAGCAAUCCAUGAGUACAGUGGCGCACGGGUGAGUAACACGUGACUAACCUACCCUCGAGUGGGGAAUAACUUCGGGAAACCGAGGCUAAUACCGCAUAACACUUACGAGUCAAAGCAGCAUUGCGCUUGGGAAGGGGNNCCNNNNNNNAUACUANUGGGGGAAGCUCCCCGCCNNCAAGGCGAAUGAUUUGUAUCCGGCCCUAAAGGGGGCCCGGAAACACUUGGAACCUUAAAACGGGGCCGAACUCCUACGGGAAGCCACCAUGGGGGAUUUUUUUCCCAUGGGGGAAAACCUUAACCCCCCACCCCCCCGUGGAAGAAAAAACCCCCUUGGGGGUGAAAAUUCUUUUUAAACAAAAAAAAAAUUAAAGGGGUUGGUGGGGAAAAACCCCCGGUUUAUUUUUUGUUCACCACCCCCGUAUAAAAAAAGAAGGAGACAACCCGUUUUUCAAAAAUUUUUGUGGGACCAAAGGGGGGCCAAAGGGGGGCCCCACACACCCCUUGUUGAAAAAUCCCCGCGGUAUUAAUAGUGGGGGCCCACGAAAAAAAAAAAUAUGGUCGUUAGGACGAUCGGCAAAAAAAAAGAUUCUCAUCCCACUCGCGAGGUGCACUAACGAAUCGAAUCACAAUCCGAUAAACACAGGUGGAGGAAGUCGUGGGUUAGUCACAGACACCCGC